UCAGGAUGAACGCUGACGGCGUGCUUAACACAUGCAAGUCGAACGAAGCACUGAAGAAUGGAGAUUCGUCAAAGUCUUCUUGACUGAGUGGCGAACGGGUGAGUAAUGCGUGAGCAACCUGCCCUUCAGAGGGGGACAACAGUUGGAAACGACUGCUAAUACCGCAUGACGUGUUCGGGAGGCAUCUCUUGGAUACCAAAGGAGAAAAUCCGCUGAAGGAUGGGCUCACGUCUGAUUAGCUAGUUGGCGGGGCAACGGCCCACCAAGGCGACGAUCAGUAGCCGGACUGAGAGGUUGAACGGCCACAUUGGGACUGAGAUACGGCCCAGACUCCUACGGGAGGCAGCAGUGGGGAAUAUUGGGCAAUGGGGCCGAAAGCCUGACCCAGCAACGCCGCGUGAAGGAAGAAGGCCUUCGGGUUGUAAACUUCUUUUAACAGGGACGAAGAAGUGACGGUACCUGUUGAAUAAGCCACGGCUAACUACGUGCCAGCAGCGGC
rnacentral:rRNA from 1 species